rnacentral:misc_RNA from 1 species
CGGAAGGGAAGGGAUUUAGGGGAGGAUUUACACGUGGGUGGCAGAGAGUAACAACAACAAGGGACUUGGUCUUUGCUUUUCCAUGUCGUAUAUUCUUAUCAAGAACUCCCACAACGCAUGUUUGCUGCUUUUCUUCUCAAAUAUCAUUAAUGGAUUCCCAAAACAUCAAACACCGUACCAGAGACACUGAGGAACCUGACACCACCACCAAGAACGGAGACAUGAGAACAAAGCGUGACAACAGAAUGGCAAUGGCCAAACGCGGUAUCAGAUCGCUAGCCAUAGCAGUCGCCUUCCCUCUCGCUUUGACCCUCUUCAAUAUCUACUUCUUUGGCUCCAGUUACGGCUAUGGCAACGUAUCAAAACCUUUUUGGUUUCCGCCUAUGUGGGCUCUACACUUUACCUGCUUAGCUUCCAGCUUCCUGAUGGGUCUCUCCGCUUGGCUCGUUUGGGCUGAAGGAGGGUUCCACAAAGAACCAACGACUGUGUCUCUCUACAUGGCGCAGCUAGGUCUGAGUUUAGCUUGGAAUCCGAUUGUGUUCCGGAUGGGAGCCACUUGGGUUGGUUUGGUUGUUUGCUUGGCUAUGUUUGGUGCUCUUGUUGGAUGUUCUCGCCAGUUCAAAAAGGUGAAUCCGAUCGCUGGAGAUUUGGUUAAGCCUUGUUUGGCAUGGGCUACAGUUUUAGCCAUUGUAAAUCUAAAGCUUGUUUUUCUUUGAAGUCUUGAAGUACAGGGUAGAGGAGAUUAUUGUUGAGAGACGAUACUUUCAUGGUGCUUUUGUAAACUCGUCACAGCUUUACAUGCUUUGAUUAUAUAGAUAGUUCCUGUAAAAGGUUUUCUUUCUUUGUUCUUUUAUUUUUCUUUUAUUUUUCUUUUUCUUUGUAUUUUUCGUGUUCUGGCCUUUAUUGUCAACUUGUGAUUAGCGAGGAUUCCAUCUUUCUAUUGUAAAAAGAUCUUAGAAGUAUGUUAUAAAAAGUUUGGAAAGACAUUUUCCUUUCAUAUGGAUGCAUAGUUACAUGUAUUAACAUCUUCCAUAUGCAUGAAGGAAGCGAUGUAGAAGCAGGGGAGAUUACUCUUUUGAUACGAACGCCAAGAAUCUUAAUUAUGGCAUCUUAGUAUUCUGGAGUCUGAGAUAAGGGUUGUUUUUUCCCCUCUUCCGAUGAAUACUAGUUUGAAUCUAAAAAGUUAUCUGAAAAGGCAAUGUGACUUACGAGAAUGCAGAUGCAGACGAAGAUGAAAAACACAGAAGCCGGUCAUCGUGUGCAGAUCCUCUGUAGCUACAGUAUCAGGGUUCAUCUUCCGUUAUUCUUGCAUAUUCAAAUAUGCAUAUCGGGUAAGACCUCUAUUGCGCUUGCUACUCCACACAGCAAAGUUUUCUCAAGGUUAUGGAUGUUCUCCUCUUUUGAUUUAAUUCCUUCCCCUCCCACAUUUGAAACCCUGGCUUGCGAUUAAUUUCAUGCUUCCAAAGGUAGCGGGCAUCCCCCCAUAAUAGAACAACAGAUCCACGGGUUAAGUGAACAGGAACUCUUGGCAUAGGCUGAUCGUUUUCUCCCUUUCCAUUCUCACAAUCUUCUCCCACUUGUGUGAAAUGCAUCACACAUGAUGACUCCAGGGAGACGAUGGCAAUUCCAUCUUCAAAGCGCAUGAGAUCAACAUGUGCACAAAUCCCCUCACCUGGUUGGUAUACAUUUACAAUUAGUUGAUCAAAUAGUGGCUCUCUCCACAACAAAUUUGUUGGAAUUAUACAGGUGCCUUUGUCUCCUUCACAACUAACUGAGUCUGCAGAUUUACAAAUCUGAUCACCAAAUAGCACAAAUUCCCGAAUAGAAUUAGAAAGUUCAAUGGCCCAAGAUGGGAGAUCUCCAAAUCUCAUAGCCUGCAAGGAACACUAAGAUUAAUGUAAACGUAUAAGCCUAUUAGAAACAACUUACAUUGAACUAGGCGUAAUAUAGCUGACAACAAUAGCUGACUUCACACAUUCCUCACAAAUUAUUUGUCCACAUAGUUUUCUAGACUUUUUCUUCCAUUCAACCCACAAGAAUGCAAAGCGAUGUCCUCAUAAGGAAAUAUUCCAAGGAUUUUUCUGACCAUAAUCCAGAUGAAUAUUUGACACAUUUGCAGCAUUACUUUCAUAACACUCUUUACAAGCACACUGUAAUAACAGAUGCAUGUUUGCAACCCGAUAACACUGCUUUAGUAAACUUCCCCACUACCCAUGAUUUCUGCAUAACCCAAGCCGCACACCUGAAAAUUACAGAGCACUUUAUCCAUAUUGAAUGAAAAGUAUACCACCACUAUAACCCCAAAGUCACUAUUUUCCGCCAAGUCUACGCCAAGCUCACUAUAUAACUACUAAAUUUCAGAAUCAGGUGAACAGAAACAAGCGCUAUUCCGAACUAAUUUAGACAAAAUAAUAAUAAUCCUUAAUCACCCAUUCACAUUGUUAUUAUGAAACAAUUUUGCAACUUCACGUGUAACCUCCCUAGGACGCACCUGAUUGUUAGAGGCCACCGUGAACCAUCCCUCUGCAGCAACAAAUUAACAAACCCAGCUCAAAAAAAUGGAAAAUGGAUAAUUUUCUGGUUAAUCUACGUGCAAAGAAAAGAAAAUUAAAGCAGAAUGAGCUGAAAUGAAAUGAACCGUUUUGAAUAUCGGAGAGCAGGCUAGAUUGUUGCUGAGGAGACAGGAAGUCUCUGCACAACCACAAACCAUUAAUUUCCUUGAUUGGUUCCCAAAUGGGGUUAUGGUCGAUGGUUAAGUGUGAUCCGUCGCCGGAUAAUGAAUCUUCGAUUCGUUGUUGCUGUUCGUCGUCGUCUUCACUGUCUGAUGAUUCACCGAACACUUGUUUCAGAAGCGUCUUCUGAUCAUCCAUUUUCUGAAUCGGACUUUUACCUUAUUGUCCGUCUUCAGGUCCUUGUGAACAACUAGAAAAUUUAGCAGACAGCACUUCCAUUGUACUACCAAAAGAAAA